UACAGAGGGUGCAAGCGUUAAUCGGAAUUACUGGGCGUAAAGCGAGCGUAGUCGGUUAUUUAAGUCGGGUGUGAAAGCCCCGGGCUCAACCUGGGAAUUGCAUUCGAUACUGGAUAGCUAGAGUUCGGCAGAGGGAAGUGGAAUUUCCGGUGUAGCGGUGAAAUUCGUAGAUAUUCGGAAGAACACCAGUGGCGAAGGCGACUUACUGGACACAUAUUGACGCUGAGGUGCGAAAGCGUGGGGAGCAAACAGG
rnacentral:rRNA from 1 species